GUCGGUAUACAGUGAAUCCUUGGAUAUUGGUGGCCCUGUACUGAUAAUUCCUAUCGUAAUUUCUCAAGUUCUCCUAUGUAUGCGCUUAGAGGGUACUCCAUCUUAUGCACAGUUUAU